rnacentral:rRNA from 1 species
AUGCACGCUGGCGGCGUGCCUCAUCCCUGCCAGUCGAGCGAACAGACGAGGAGCUUGCUCCUCUGACGUUAGCGGCGGACGGGUGAGUAACACGUGGAUAACCUACCUAUAAGACUGGGAUAACUUCGGGAAACCGGAGCUAAUACCGGAUAAUAUAUUUAACCGCAUGGUUCAAUAGUGAAAGACGGUUUUGCUGUCACUUAUAGAUGGAUCCGCGCCGCAUUAGCUAGUUGGUAAGGUAACGGCUUACCAAGGCAACGAUGCGUAGCCGACCUGAGAGGGUGAUCGGCCACACUGGAACUGAGACACGGUCCAGACUCCUACGGGAGGCAGCAGUAGGGAAUCUUCCGCAAUGGGCGAAAGCCUGACGGAGCAACGCCGCGUGAGUGAUGAAGGUCUUCGGAUCGUAAAACUCUGUUAUUAGGGAAGAACAAAUGUGUAAGUAACUAUGCACGUCUUGACGGUACCUAAUCAGAAAGCCACGGCUAACUACGUG